AGAGUUUGAUUAUGGCUCAGGAUGAACGCUGGCGGCGUGCCUAACACAUGCAAGUCGAACGGACUUACACAGAAGCAGGAGAUGCUUGCAUUGACUAACGGAAGUGUAAGUUAGUGGCGGACGGGUGAGUAACGCGUGGGCAACCUGCCCCAUACCGGGGGAUAACACCUGGAAACAGGUGCUAAAACCGCAUAAGCGCACAGCUUCGCAUGAAGGUGUGUGAAAAACUCCGGUGGUAUGGGAUGGGCCCGCGUCUGAUUAGCUGGUUGGCGGGGUAACGGCCCACCAAGGCAACGAUCAGUAGCCGGCCUGAGAGGGUGGACGGCCACAUUGGGACUGAGACACGGCCCAAACUCCUACGGGAGGCAGCAGUGGGGAAUAUUGGACAAUGGGGGAAACCCUGAUCCAGCGACGCCGCGUGAGUGAAGAAGUAUUUCGGUACGUAAAGCUCUAUCAGCAGGAAAGAAAAUGACGGUACCUGACUAAGAAGCCCCGGCUAACUACGUGCCAGCAGCCGCGGUAAUACGUAGGGGGCAAGCGUUAUCCGGAUUUACUGGGUGUAAAGGGAGCGUAAACGGCAGCGCAAGUCUGGAGUGAAAUGCCGGGGCCCAACCCCGGAACUGCUCUGGAAACUGUGAA
rnacentral:rRNA from 1 species